GUCCAGACUCCUACGGGAGGCAGCAGUGGGGAAUAUUGCACAAUGGGGGAAACCCUGAUGCAGCGACGCCGCGUGAGUGAAGAAGUAUUUCGGUAUGUAAAGCUCUAUCAGCAGGGAAGAAAGUGACGGUACCUGACUAAGAAGCCCCGGCUAACUACGUGCCAGCAGCCGCGGUAAUACGUAGGGGGCAAGCGUUAUCCGGAUUUACUGGGUGUAAAGGGAGCGUAGACGGCAUGGCAAGUCAGAUGUGAAAGCCCGGGGCUCAACCCCGGGACUGCAUUUGAAACUGUCAGGCUGGAGUGCAGGAGAGGUAAGUGGAAUUCCUAGUGUAGCGGUGAAAUGCGUAGAUAUUAGGAGGAACACCAGUGGCGAAGGCGGCUUACUGGACUGUAACUGACGUUGAGGCUCGAAAGCGUGGGGAGCAAACAGGAUUAGAUACCCGAGUA
rnacentral:rRNA from 1 species